AGGCAGAGCUCCUAGGGCUAUUACGCA
rnacentral:sRNA from 1 species